GAAAUGCGAUAAGUAAUGUGAAUUGCAGAAUUCAGUGAAUCAUCGAAUCUUUGAACGCACAUUGCGCCCGCCAGUAUUCUGGCGGGCAUGCCUGUUCGAGCGUCAUUUCAACCAUCAAGCCCCGCGCUUGUGUUGGGGACCUGCGGCUGCCGCAGGCCCUGAAAACCAGUGGCGGGCUCGCUGUCACACCGAGCGUAGUAGAUUUCUCAUCUCGCUCAGGGCGUGCUGCGGGUUCCGGCCGUUAAAAAGCCUUAUUUUACCCAAGGUUGACCUCGGAUCAGGUAGGAAGACCCGCUGAACUUAAGC
rnacentral:misc_RNA from 1 species